AUGCUGGCAACGAGCGGUCGAGGCGCGGACGCUCGGUUUAGCGAAAUCGUGUCUGGGUCUCUGGGACACUAUAAAUGGACCGGUGAGGUUGCGCUCUCUGUCGCAGCAAAGCCGGAAAACUGGUCCGCCCGGAAGCAAGAGAUGGCUGACUUGUCCCUCGUGUGCGCGGCAUCGCUCCCACUCACUCUGCUCGCGGCCUACGCGCUACAACCACUGGCCGACGCGCGCCGACGCCUCCCGCCCGGCCCCAGGCCACUCCCGCUCCUCGGUAACCUCCUCGACAUCGGCGAGCACCCUCACCGUUCCUUCGCCAGCCUCGCCGACAUCCACGGCCCGCUCAUGUUCGUCCGCCUCGGCACUGUCCCAGCCGUCGUGGCCACCUCGCCGGAGGCCGCCCGCGAGGUCCUGCAGAAAAAGAACGCCAGCAUGGCCGCUCGCCGUGGCCUGGACGCCUGGCGCGUCAUGGACCACGACGCCAACUCCAUGGUCGCGCUCCCGCCGCGCGGCAAGUGGCGCGCCUUCAGGCAGCACUCCAGGGCCGCGCUCCUCGGCCCCCGGCCGCUCGACGAGCACCGGGCGGUGCGGGAGGAGGAGGCGCGCGAGCUGGUGCGGCGCUUGUCCGCGGCCGGAGGCGCCCCGGUCGAUGUGGCUCGCGAGGCGUUCGUGGCCAUGGUGAACGUGCUGUGCCGCGGGAUGUUCUCGGAGAAGCUAGAUCCGGCCGUGGUGUCGGAGCUGACGGACGUGGCGGAAGAGGCGGCCGUGCUGUCCGGCCUGCCCAACGUGUCUGAUUUCUUCCCGGCGCUCGCGGCCCUCGACCUGCAGGGUAUCCGGCGCAAGGCGGGGAAGGUGCUCGCGUGGCUGUAUACGCUCAUCGACGAGCAGAUCGAGCGGCGGAAGCUCAGCCGGGCGGACGGCGAUGCGCGCAGGAACGAUCUGUUGGAUGUGUUGCUUGACAUGGACGGCGACGUGCGAGACGAGGACGGAUGGGUGAUGAACCAGGAGUCCAUCCGAGGUCUAUUGAUGGAAUUACUCCUAGGCGCAACAUCAGUCCCCACCACAAUCGAGUGGGCGAUGUCGGAGCUAUUGCAAAACCCUCCCGCUAUACACAAACUCCAAGCGGAGCUCAGGAACGUCCUCGGCACCCGACCAUGCGCAUGGAUGGAGGAGUCCGACACCGGCAGCCUCCCAUAUCUCCAAGCCGUCGUCAAAGAAACACUACGGCUCCAUCCCCCGGUGCCAUUCGCCACUGGGCUAGCCGAGGAGGCGGUGGAGAUAGAAGGCUACAACGUCCCUAAGGGCACGACUGCCCUGGUGAACAUCUGGGGGAUAUGCAGAAAUGCCAAGGUAUGGGAUGAGCCCAACAGGUUCUUGCCGGAAAGGUUCCUGCAUAGGGAGAUAGAGUUCUUCGGUGCAGAUUUUGAGCUGAUCGCAUUCAGCGCCGGGAAGCGGAUCUGUCCUGGGCUGCAGCUCUCGAGUAAGAUGGUGCCACUUAUACUCGGCUCAAUGCUCUAUCACUUUGAUUGGACAUUGCCGGGAGAAGAAGAUGCUGCUCCUGUAGAUAUGACAGAGCAGUUUGGACUGGUGUUGUCCAUGGCUGUCCCGCUACGCGUUGUACCUAAGAAAAUAUUGUAA
rnacentral:rRNA from 1 species